rnacentral:rRNA from 1 species
CGCCAGACUCCUACGGGAGGCAGCAGUGGGGAAUAUUGCACAAUGGGGGAAACCCUGAUGCAGCGACGCCACGUGAGUGAAGAAGUAUUUCGGUAUGUAAAGCUCUAUCAGCAGGGAAGAAAAUGACGGUACCUGACUAAGAAGCCCCGGCUAACUACGUGCCAGCAGCCGCGGUAAUACGUAGGGGGCAAGCGUUAUCCGGAUUUACUGGGUGUAAAGGGAGCGUAGACGGCAUGGCAAGUCAGAUGUGAAAGCCCGGGGCUCAACCCCGGGACUGCAUUUGAAACUGUCAGGCUGGAGUGCAGGAGAGGUAAGUGGAAUUCCUAGUGUAGCGGUGAAAUGCGUAGAUAUUAGGAGGAACACCAGUGGCGAAGGCGGCUUACUGGACUGUAACUGACGUUGAGGCUCGAAAGCGUGGGGAGCAAACAGGAUUAGAUACCCGGGUAA